rnacentral:rRNA from 1 species
GAUGAACGCUGGCGGCGUGCUUAACACAUGCAAGUCGAACGAUGAAGCCCAGCUUGCUGGGUGGAUUAGUGGCGAACGGGUGAGUAACACGUGAGUAACCUGCCCUUAACUCUGGGAUAAGCCUGGGAAACUGGGUCUAAUACCGGAUAGGAGCGCCUACCGCAUGGUGGGUGUUGGAAAGAUUUAUCGGUUUUGGAUGGACUCGCGGCCUAUCAGCUUGUUGGUGAGGUAAUGGCUCACCAAGGCGACGACGGGUAGCCGGCCUGAGAGGGUGACCGGCCACACUGGGACUGAGACACGGCCCAGACUCCUACGGGAGGCAGCAGUGGGGAAUAUUGCACAAUGGGCGAAAGCCUGAUGCAGCGACGCCGCGUGAGGGAUGACGGCCUUCGGGUUGUAAACCUCUUUCAGUAGGGAAGAAGCGAAAGUGACGGUACCUGCAGAAGAAGCACCGGCGAACUACGU